rnacentral:snRNA from 1 species
GUGUUGGCUUCAACAGCACAUACACUAAAAUGGGAAUGAUACAGAGAAAAUUGGCAUGGCCCCUGUGUACGGAUAACAUACAUUUUCAGAAAACAUUCCAUAUGUUU